rnacentral:rRNA from 1 species
CAGCAGCCGCGGGAAUACGAAGGGUGCAAGCGUUACUCGGAAUUACUGGGCGUAAAGCGUGCGUAGGUGGUGGUUUAAGUCCGUUGUGAAAGCCCUGGGCUCAACCUGGGAAUUGCAGUGGAUACUGGGUCACUAGAGUGUGGUAGAGGAUAGUGGAAUUUCCGGUGUAGCAGUGAAAUGCGUAGAGAUCGGAAGGAACAUCUGUGGCGAAGGCGACUAUCUGGGCCAACACUGACACUGAGGCACGAAAGCGUGGGAAGCAAACAGGAUUAGAUACCCGUGUAGUCCCUGUCUCUUAUAC